rnacentral:rRNA from 1 species
UACGUAGGGGGCAAGCGUUGUCCGGAAUUACUGGGCGUAAAGAGCGUGUAGGCGGAUUUUUAAGUCAGAUGUGAAACCUCCGGGCUCAACUUGGAGCAUGCAUCUGAUACUGGAAGUCUUGAGGGUAUGAGAGGAAAACGGUAUUCCUAGUGUAGCGGUGAAAUGCGUAGAUAUUAGGAGGAACACCAGUGGCGAAGGCGGUUUUCUGGCAUACAACUGACGCUGAGACGCGAAAGCGUGGGGAGCAAACAGG